UGGGGAAUUUUGGACAAUGGGCGAAAGCCUGAUCCAGCAAUGCCGCGUGUGUGAAGAAGGCCUUCGGGUUGUAAAGCACUUUUGUCCGGAAAGAAAUCCUUGGCUCUAAUACAGUCGGGGGAUGACGGUACCGGAAGAAUAAGCACCGGCUAACUACGUGCCAGCAGCCGCGGUAAUACGUAGGGUGCAAGCGUUAAUCGGAAUUACUGGGCGUAAAGCGUGCGCAGGCGGUUUGCUAAGACCGAUGUGAAAUCCCCGGGCUCAACCUGGGAACUGCAUUGGUGACUGGCAGGCUAGAGUAUGGCAGAGGGGGGUAGAAUUCCACGUGUAGCAGUGAAAUGCGUAGAGAUGUGGAGGAAUACCGAUGGCGAAGGCAGCCCCCUGGGCCAAUACUGACGCUCAUGCACGAAAGCGUGGGGAGCAAACAGGAUUAGAUACCCUGGUAGUCCACGCCCUAAACGAUGUCAACUAGUUGUUGGGGAUUCAUUCCUUAGUAACGUAGCUAACGCGUGAAGUUGACCGCCUGGGGAGUACGGUCGCAAAGAUUAAAACUUAAAUGAAUUGACGGGGUCAUA
rnacentral:rRNA from 1 species